UGCCUCCCAAUCUCCCAACGCCAGAAGCCCGAGCAGCCGCCUGCCUACCCUCGCUCCAUCGAUCUCCGGCGCACGGACCAUCUCCGGCAAACGGAUCGGCGGCACCUUCUACGAUCCCGGGGUGGCACCCGCGGAGGGAAACAGGAGGAGAUCCGAUUGGCGGCACGCCGGAGUGGAAUGGGGAGCUGCUGCGGCGUGCCCGAGCAGCCGUCAUACGCUAUGGGCAGGCACCAGACGACGCUACCGCGGCGACCAUCGGGAGCCACCUCAUCGCGACCAUCCCGACCGCGACUCCUCUGUAGUUGUGCAGGAGGGGGAGCUACUGCAGGCGGCCUCUGUUCGGUAGUAGGCCGCUGCCGUGCCUGGGGAAUUUCAAGCCGCUGCUCGGGGGAGCCCCUCCGCGCCGUGGUCCCUUUGGCUGAUCGGAUCCACAUGGCAAGCGAGCGCCGCCGGAGUAGGCGAGGCCAGUCGCGAAGGGAUCUGCUGCCGGGGUUGGUGCCACCGCCAUUGGCAGGUGCCCUCACCGAUCAAAAAGGUCGUCCGGUGGGGUUGAGCAGCGCGGACGCGGCCAGCCGUGAUCCACGCGGUUGCUGCGGCGAGCGCCGCCGCAACUCAUAGUGGUGAUGGCCGCCGCUCGUGGUCUGGCUGAGUUGCUGCCGUCGGUGCGGAGGGCCGGGCUUGCCGUCCUUAGGGAACGCGCGGAGGCCUGACAGGCGCCAGGCGGUGGGGCUGGCGGCACUGCAGGCGGAGUCCCAAAGCCUCACCACCCUCAUCCGCGCGCGUCCGGCGGACUCCCAAUGGCGUCGUCAGCCAGCGGUGGCGCCGCCACGGCCAGGCUUUCAAGGCACAUCCCUGACGAGCUCCCUGCGAGAAUAGGUGCCAGGGAGGCCCUCGUCGUCGGCCCCUCCCCCCGGCAAGGCCAAGCCCUGGCGUGUCGAGGUCGGGUGGGACGACGACGGCACGUUCCUGGGCGCGGGUUGCCGGACUUCGCAGAUGCCUUUCGGCGUCAACGCCGGGGCCGUGUCGUGCUCACCAUCCAGACAUUCGCCAGCUCCUGUUUCAGGGCGCCUGUUGCUCAACCAGCUACAGCUGCCGGAUUGGUCUCCAAAUAAGCUUCACCAAGACUGCAGGAUCCUGUACCUUCGGAAGGUCAGUGAGCCCUCCCUCCCUCAGUACGUAGCAUUUUUCACUCAGUUUUCUUUGUAGCCAUAGUGCGCUUGGGAACCUAAUAGAGCUUUCGACUGGCUAUGUGCUUGCAAACAAUGGAAAAUUAGCUUCAAGUUUAUGUGGAAGCUUAACUGAUGCUUCUCUGCUCGAACAUUAAAAUUCUUCAGCUAUCUAUUUCUCAGGAAUGUUGUAACCAGCUCCAGCACACCCAAACAAAGACUUUGCCACUGUGAUCCAAAGAGGUAGCCCAAUUUAAUUCAUGAAAAGGAAACAGCCCCUUCUAUUACCAAUUGCAAAUUGUUUAUAAUUUAUAGUUAAAAAAUAAGUAUGUCUGAGUAUUAUGGUUGAUGUAAAGCUAUGGUCAACUUUUUCUUGAGAAAAGUUUACUAUGCACUGGGUUUGAAGUUGCAUUCACAUUCAGAAUUACUGAUAAAGAAUUAUAUGCAGUAACAUAUCUUUGCAUAGGUUCAGAAUUAUCUUUGCAUAGAGAUGAUUGGGGAUUUUGAUUCUUCUUUUUUUCUCUUUUGAUUCUAUCUUUGCUGGAUGAGAAGGCAUUGAAUGUUGUCAUUUCUCAAGGGAUGGCAUGAAUGGUACCAAAAGGUGCUUUUUAGCUGCAGUUGCUGCCUGCUCUCCUGGAAUGGCGUAAAUCAUUCCUGUGUUCAUCAUUGGAGCAGUUUCUGAAGUUGUAAACUUCGUCUUGGUCUUGUAUAUAAUUAGCUGUGAUCUAAUGAGACUAUAAUCUUUUAGAAACGCGGUGAAGAAAUAUCCAUCGUUUUGAGUUAUAUAAUUUUGAAUUUCGGUGACCUAACAGUGCUAAGUCUCUGAUAUAAAG